UACCCGAUUUCCGACAGAAGACGUGCCCCUUCCGACCAUACUGCCUCCUAUCCACAGGGGGUCACCUGUUGUACGUUAAGACUCGAUUAUCACCGUCGCAAGAAUCUCUUUAGUGCGAUAUGCUCUCUUUUCGGCAGAUAGUUUAAGCGUCUGGGUAACAUUAAGCGUCUGUCAUGUACACUAAAUAAGCGUCUGGAUGAUCUUGAACCUUGUUUUGAUGUCAAGUAUACCAAUUAACACUGUAUUGUCAGAUGUAAUAAACAUGGGAACAUUAGAUAUGGAGACUUUUCUUGCGGUAUAUAAUACAGCGUAUCACGGAAUUGUCUCCAUAAAAAUGAAGCGAAAGGCAACAACACUGGAUCGAUUUUUGGUCUAUUCAACAAACCAAAAAACACAGAGUCUGAUUCUGAGCCAAAGUUGUCGAGUCUAAGAACUCGCCACGAAGAUGACUGUUUGAGUCCACCUACCAGCUCAGUGUGGUUAAAUUAAGCUGCCAACCCCCAACCAAUUUGAGCCACAGUUUAUUUGUUACUUGUUGUACUGUUGAAUGCCAAUUACAAUUUUAAAUAAAAAUUCAACAUCUUUAA